AUACCUUUCUCGGCCUUUUGGCUAAGAUCAAGUGUAGUAUCUGUUCUUAUCGGUUUAAUAUCUGAUACGUGAGUAAUUGACUCACACGAUAUUAACUCAAUUUUUUUAGGGGGAGAGGCCAUUAUGGUAGCUUGCUAUUGGGGCUCUCAAGUGUCGCCUUGGUGUUGCACUAUUACCUUGGCCUGGCACACCCCAC
rnacentral:snRNA from 1 species